UACAGAGGUCCCGAGCGUUGUUCGGAUUCACUGGGCGUAAAGGGUGCGUAGGUGGUUGGGUAAGUUUGAUGUGAAAGCUCAGGGCUUAACCCUGAAAUGGCAUUGAAUACUACUUAAACUGGAGGUUUGGAGGGGGGACUGGAAUUCUUGGUGUAGCAGUGAAAUGCGUAGAUAUCAAGAGGAACACCAGUGGCGAAGGCGAGUCCCUGGACAACACCUGACACUGAGGCACGAAAGCUAGGGGAGCAAACAGG
rnacentral:rRNA from 1 species